rnacentral:lncRNA from 1 species
ACAUCAUAUUUUACUUCUUUAGUCCCCUUCUUUGAUUGCUUAUUUCUCUACUCCCCCUCAAAAUAGAAAACAUAAAGGAUAUAUCAACUUACUCAUCUAGAAGAUAUUGUAAUUCAUAGUAUUUCUCAGCACUAAUAUGAGUUAUUUUUCAUAUCUCAUAAUUAAAAUAAUUCAAUUUGAUCACAUUCAUAGAUUUUCAUUGAAAGUCAAAGCACAUAUAUAUAUAUAUAUUCAAAAGUGACUAAAUACAAAAGGUGUCCCAAUACACAUGAGUCAACUCAAAAUAUAAAAGUCAUGGAUAGAAACUAUCCAAGAGUUAAUUAGCCA